GCUGGGCGUGGUGGCUCACGCCUGUAAUCCCAGCACUUUGGGAGGCCGAGGCGGGUGGAUCACUUGAGGUCAGGAGUUCGAGACCAGCCUGACCAACAUGGUGAAACCCCAUCUCUA
rnacentral:SRP_RNA from 2 species